ncrna:Parvimonas micra ATCC 33270 dfrA-dnaX RNA
ACGCAUAAUGGUAAAACUAUAUUAAUUUCAUCAUAAUCUUCAUUAAAAAAUAAUUAAAAAGAAGAUUAUGAUAUAAU